rnacentral:rRNA from 1 species
GAUGAACGCUGGCGGCGUGCCUAAUACAUGCAAGUCGAGCGAACGGACGAGAAGCUUGCUUCUCUGAUGUUAGCGGCGGACGGGUGAGUAACACGUGGAUAACCUACCUAUAAGACUGGGAUAACUUCGGGAAACCGGAGCUAAUACCGGAUAAUAUUUUGAACCGCAUGGUUCAAAAGUGAAAGACGGUCUUGCUGUCACUUAUAGAUGGAUCCGCGCUGCAUUAGCUAGUUGGUAAGGUAACGGCUUACCAAGGCAACGAUGCAUAGCCGACCUGAGAGGGUGAUCGGCCACACUGGAACUGAGACACGGUCCAGACUCCUACGGGAGGCAGCAGUAGGGAAUCUUCCGCAAUGGGCGAAAGCCUGACGGAGCAACGCCGCGUGAGUGAUGAAGGUCUUCGGAUCGUAAAACUCUGUUAUUAGGGAAGAACAUAUGUGUAAGUAACUGUGCACAUCUUGACGGUACCUAAUCAGAAAGCCACGGCUAACUACGUGCCAGCAGCCGCGGUAAUACGUAGGUGGCAAGCGUUAUCCGGAAUUAUUGGGCGUAAAGCGCGCGUAGCGGUUUUUUAAGUCUGAUGUGAAAGCCCACGGCUCAACCGUGGAGGGUCAUUGGAAACUGGAAAACUUGAGUGCAGAAGAGGAAAGUGGAAUUCCAUGUGUAGCGGUGAAAUGCGUAGAGAUAUGGAGGAACACCAGUGGCGAAGGCGACUUUCUGGUCUGUAACUGACGCUGAUGUGCGAAAGCGUGGGGAUCAAACAGGAUUAGAUACCCUGGUAGUCCACGCCGUAAACGAUGAGUGCUAAGUGUUAGGGGGUUUCCGCCCCUUAGUGCUGCAGCUAACGCAUUAAGCACUCCGCCUGGGGAGUACGACCGCAAGGUUGAAACUCAAAGGAAUUGACGGGGACCCGCACAAGCGGUGGAGCAUGUGGUUUAAUUCGAAGCAACGCGAAGAACCUUACCAAAUCUUGACAUCCUUUGACAACUCUAGAGAUAGAGCUUUCCCCUUCGGGGGACAAAGUGACAGGUGGUGCAUGGUUGUCGUCAGCUCGUGUCGUGAGAUGUUGGGUUAAGUCCCGCAACGAGCGCAACCCUUAAGCUUAGUUGCCAUCAUUAAGUUGGGCACUCUAAGUUGACUGCCGGUGACAAACCGGAGGAAGGUGGGGAUGACGUCAAAUCAUCAUGCCCCUUAUGAUUUGGGCUACACACGUGCUACAAUGGACAAUACAAAGGGCAGCGAAACCGCGAGGUCAAGCAAAUCCCAUAAAGUUGUUCUCAGUUCGGAUUGUAGUCUGCAACUCGACUACAUGAAGCUGGAAUCGCUAGUAAUCGUAGAUCAGCAUGCUACGGUGAAUACGUUCCCGGGUCU